AAACAGCCAUUCUGUUAGAAGGAACAACAUUACAAUGUGAUGGACUACAAGGUGAAACAGCCAUUCUGUUAGAAGGAACAACAUUACAAUGUGAUGGACUACAAGGUGAAACAGCCAUUCUGUUAGAAGGAACAACAUUACAAUGUGAUGGACUACAAGGUGAAACAGCCAUUCUGUUAGAAGGAACAACAUUACAAUGUGAUGGACUACAAGGUGAAACAGCCAUUCUGUUAGAAGGAACAACAUUACAAUGUGAUGGACUACAAGGUGAAACAGCCAUUCUGUUAGAAGGAACAACAUUACAAUGUGAUGGACUACAAGGUGAAACAGCCAUUCUGUUAGAAGGAACAACAUUACAAUGUGAUGAUAUUAGGAUCUCCAAAGUGUUUUUCAUCUGAGUUUUCUGUGUGACUCCAAAUACUUUUAUGAUUGUUUAUAGUUUUUAGCUAAAUUCAUGCAUUAAAUUAUUAUAUUUUUGAGGACAUAAUGUCUUCUGUUUAAUUCAGAUGCCUUUAGUGAUGAAUUAAAUGAGUAUAAAAUGCAUCAUUCAGAAUAAUAUGAUGGGAUACUACUAGUAUUGCUUGCUGGACAUAUAACAGUACUGUAAGUUGUCACUGUCCAGUGAUAUUCUAAGUGGUCUUUUUUAGCAGUCUGUCCCAUUCACUUUGACAGUGAUGCUGUAAUGAUGUCAUGUCAUCAUGUGCUAACUGUCCUCAUGAUGCAGUAAUGCUGAUAAAAGAUGCUGUUGCCCAUGUGUAUGUAUGUAAUGUGAUUGACAUGUCCUGAGUCCUGUGUGUCUUCUGUGUGUCUGGCUUGGAUGUGUCCCAAAUGGUACCCUUAACCAUUUGUAGGUGCACUAGGGCCCAUAGGGAAUAGGGUACCAUUUGGAACACCGUCUGAGAGUCUAGGAGGCAAUAUGAUUUACACAGCACAGUUUGAUUGACAUGUAGGAUAAUCUGGAAUGGAUAAAUAAUAAUACAAUGAAUAAACUUCCUCUUUAUUUUAAA
rnacentral:lncRNA from 1 species